CCUACGGGCGGCAGCAGUGAGGAAUAUUGGUCAAUGGGCGCGAGCCUGAACCAGCCAAGUCGCGUGAGGGAAGACGGUCCUAUGGAUUGUAAACUUCUUUUGUCGGGGAGCAAAAGAUGCCACGCGUGGCGUUCCGAGAGUACCCGAAGAAAAAGCAUCGGCUAACUCCGUUCCAGCAGCCGCGGUAAUACGGGGGAUGCGACCGUUAUCCGGAUUUAUUGGGUUAAAGGGGUGCGCAGGGGGAAGGUCCAGUCAGCGGUAAAAUGGAGGGGCUCAACCUCUUCGAGCCGUUGAAACUGGCCUGCUUGAGUGGGCGAGAGGUAUGCGGAAUGCGUAGUGUAGCGGUGAAAUGCAUAGAUAUCACGAAGAACUCCGAUUGCGAAGGCAGCAUACCGGCGCUAAACUGACGCUGAGGCACGAAAGCGUGGGGAUCGAACAGGAUUAGAUACCCGGGUAGUC
rnacentral:rRNA from 1 species